GAGGCCUCUCGCUAACGGUCGCGCGGCCGUCGCACCUGCACGCGUCUGUGUGCCGAGCGUCGUGUGGAAAAGCCGCGAAGCGCGGGCGACUCGGGGGUCGGGCGAGCCAGGUCCGCGAGGUCGCGGCUGCCGCUGUGCAGGGCCGGGAAGCAGUCGCCCCGGAGAGCCUCGGAUAAAACAAUGGCAAACUCCUUUGCAUCAAGGACCCUCACUGCCCUUUCAGAUCUGCAGCCAAAUAUGGCUAAUCUGAAAAUAAUCGGUAUAGUUAUCGGGAAAACAGAUGUCAGAGGAUUUCCAGACAGAAAAAGCUGAGUUCUCUUUAACUCUUUGCUUCAUUUUUCAUCAACUUUGGCUUUUGACUAUAACAAAGUCUAUUUAAGAGAUUAAUUUUCUU